rnacentral:rRNA from 1 species
UACAGAGGUCUCAAGCGUUGUUCGGAUUUAUUGGGCGUAAAGGGCGCGUAGGCGGCGGGUAAGUCGGGUGUGAAAUCUCAGGGCUCAACCCUGAAACUGCACUUGAUACUGCUCUGCUUGAGGACUGGAGAGGAGACUGGAAUUCACGGUGUAGCAGUGAAAUGCGUAGAUAUCGUGAGAAGACCAGUGGCGAAGGCGGUCUCUGGACAGUUCCUGACGCUGA